rnacentral:rRNA from 1 species
AUACGGAGGGUGCAAGCGUUAAUCGGAAUUACUGGGCGUAAAGCGUGCGUAGGUGGUUUGUUAAGUCAGAUGUGAAAGCCCCGGGCUCAACCUGGGAACUGCAUUUGAAACUGGCAUGCUAGAGUAUAGGAGAGGAAAGUGGAAUUUCAGGUGUAGCGGUGAAAUGCGUAGAUAUCUGAAGGAACAUCAAUGGCGAAGGCAGCUUUCUGGACUAAUACUGACACUGAGGUACGAAAGCGUGGGUAGCAAACAGGAUUAGAAACCCUAGUAGUCC